rnacentral:rRNA from 1 species
AGGAAGAGGUAACUCUGAAAUUCUUCUAGCGGCGGACGGGUGAGUAACGCGUGAGCAAUCUUUCCUAGACAGGGGGAUAACGCAUCGAAAGGUGCACUAAUACCGCAUAAGACCACAGUUCCACAUGGGAUAGGGGUCAAAGGAGAAAUCCGGUUUAGGGUGAGCUCGCGUCUGAUUAGCUAGUUGGUGGGGUAACGGCCUACCAAGGCGACGAUCAGUAGCCGACCUGAGAGGGUGAUCGGCCACACUGGGACUGAGACACGGCCCAGACUCCUACGGGAGGCAGCAGUGGGGAAUAUUGGGCAAUGGGGGAAACCCUGACCCAGCAACGCCGCGUGAGGGAAGAAGGUCUUCGGAUCGUAAACCUCUGUCCUCAAUGAAGAGCAGAAGACGGUAAUUGAGGAGGAAGCCCCGGCUAACUACGUGCCAGCAGCCGCGGUAAUACGUAGGGGGCAAGCGUUAUCCGGAAUGAUUGGGCGUAAAGGGCGCGUAGGCGGCCAUUUAAGAAUGGAGUGAAAGUCCUGCUUUUAAGGUGGGAAUUGCUUUGUUAACUGAAUGGCUUGAGUGUAGGAGAGGUUAGUGGAAUUCCCGGUGUAGCGGUGAAAUGCGUA